GCACUGCUGAGGAGUCCCACAAUAGGAUGAAACGGUCGUCUAGUGA
rnacentral:hammerhead_ribozyme from 3 species